rnacentral:lncRNA from 1 species
UGAAUAUGUAUGCAUUCUCUACUCCCAUAAAUUUUUGAAGUAUAUUGAUAAUUUGAGGUUUAAUUUCAAAGUGUUUAUGGUGGGUUGGAGCAACCUAAUGCAAGAAGGUUGGAUGGAACUGACUGGAUAAUAUAAAUUCUUAAAGAUUUGGGGUUGAUUAGGUUCUCCCAUUGUAGAAGUUGUUGGGUUUGAAAUAGGAAUCGAAUCACUAGUCGACCCGACACCCUUCUCCAUGAA